AGGAUGUUGGAUACAUGAGUAUGAAGUUCGGGGAAGGGAUCUAAGCUGGAGGCAUAACUUUGGGAGGUGUCAGCAUGCAGAUGGCAUUUAAAGCCAUCAGACUGGAUGAGAUCACUAAGGAAGUGAGUGUAGAGAAGAGUAAAUAACCAAGUAAUGAUCUUCAGGGAAUUCCAAUGUUGAAAAUUGAGAGAGGUAAGGAUAAAGCUGCAGUGGAGAUUGAGGAGGAGAGGCCAGUGAGGUGGAAGAGGAUCAGGAGUGGAUGGAGUACCAGACACCAGCUGAAGCACAUAUUUCCAGGAGGAGGAAGUGGUACACAGUGUGAAAUGCUUCUGGUAUGGAAAACUCUCCAGCAGUCACCCACUCCCUACCCCCAAGAUUAGCCCACUCCUCUACGUCUCUUUGGCAAGAUAUUCUGGGACACAGUGAGAAAAAGGAGGACGGAAGUGGGAAUGGUCAGUCAAUCGGAGCCUCAUGAAAGCAAAGCAGAGCAUUACAUUUCAGAAGACAAGAAGGCCACAUAACAAGUCAACCUCCAUCACCUCCAAAGACUUCAUUUAAUAAAAGUUGAAUCAUUUUCACCCGCCCAUAGCAGUUAAAAAACAAAAUUAAUAUAAUAAUAGAAAUUCCUCUGCUUGUCAGUUGGAUGUCUUGAGCAGUGAGGAUAUGUGUGAUUCGUGUCUCAGAUGAGAAACCCUGUGAAUCUUGAACUUUAGUAGAGAAGUUAAAUCACCUUUGUUGGCUCCUCCUUUGGCCAAACUCCAAUUGCUGCAAUGUCUUGGGACUUAGUUCUGGUCCUCUUUUUCUCUCUGUCAUCACCCUUGCUUUCUCCCUAGGUUCUUCCAUCCAGCCCCUGGCUUAAAUUGCCAUCUAUAUCUUGAUAACACCUAAAUUUAUAUCUCUGGCCCAGAUUUCUCCCUUGAGCUCCACACUCCAAUGCACACCUGCUUAUUUGACAUCUCCAUUUGGGAUAUCCAAAGGGCAUCUCAAACUUGGCAAAGUAAAAACAGAACUUUUGGUUUCUGUACCCCCUCUCCAAACCUGCUCCUCCCCCAGUUGUCCUAUUUCAGCAAAUGGCAU
rnacentral:lncRNA from 1 species